GAUGAAGAACGUAGCGAAAUGCGAUAAGUAGUGUGAAUUGCAGAAUUCCGUGAAUCAUCGAAUCUUUGAACGCACAUUGCGCCUUCUGGUAUUCCGGAAGGCAUGCCUGUUCGAGAGUCAUUAACAACCGUUUCGAUCCCUUUCUUUCAGAAAUUACAAAGAGGAAAAGGGUUUGGUUAUGGUGGAGGAGGGAAAGGGAGCGUUUAGCCUGUAAAAAAAGAGGCUGUGUUCCGCCUCCCCCCCAAAAUUGUACAGGCGGUCGUGUGCGCCCACGCAUCGAGGUGUUGUAAAAGCUGCCACGGCACUUUUCACCUGUGCAGUGCGAGAUUGGCCAGCCGGUUUAAAAACCCCUCCAAACAAUCAAUGGUUGACCUCGGAUCAGGUAGGGAUACCCGCUGAACUUAAGCAUAUCAAUAAGCGGAGGA
rnacentral:misc_RNA from 1 species